AAACAACCGGUCGUUGUACUG
rnacentral:miRNA from 1 species